GGGAGGAUUACCCGUGCCAGGGAGUUUUGAAGCAAAGGAUUGCUCUCUGUUGAGGGUCAGGAUGUGGUGUCUCCCCACAUUCUUACUUAUCUCUUCCUCUGGCUGUGUAUGGCCCUGUUGGAGUGGUGGGGUUCCCCAGCUGGGUGUGGUGGAAGGGGGUGGGCUGUGCCUCUUCUGGGGCGGCUGUUGGUGCUGUGUCCAGCUGUAUGACUCCUGUUCUUCCCCUGCUCACUCUGUCCACAGCCCUGACACUCCCAUUCCCUCAAUCGGCUACAGCAAGGCAUGGACAAUGCUAAGACAACGGUGUCAAAUCCCAAUGAUGACAGUAAAAAACAGUUCUUCCCUUUGUGGAACUUGUCUGCUCCAUUACAAUUGCAGCUGUCAGUUGGCAUCCAUGCACUCUUGCCUGAUCAGACAGAAAGAAGGAGCCAUGAGGAGUUCAGAGUGGAUCAGCUCCUUCAGAGACCAAGCAUACCAUCUCUGAAGAGCUGCCUUGUCUCUCUCGUCCCACAGAGGGCAAGUUUUGAAGCAGCCAUCGACAACUGCAGAUUGAAUGGACUGAGGUCAGACAUGGACAUCAAGAUGUACUAUUUCACGUGUUUCUAAUCAUCCUGGAUCAUGGGUUCUCAAACUUUCUCAUAACAAGGAUCAUCUCUUACUAGAGAAUGUGUCUCAUAGACAUCUCUCCCAUUUGUGACUGCCUGACUACAGCAAUUGCUUAAAUGCGAAAAUAAUGUUAAGACUGCAUGAAUGUAUCUUUAGCUGUCUUCUCCAGCUGCUAAACUUCAUUAACUGAAAUGAGCCAGCAUCAUGUGACUCCAGCCAGCUUUCCUCAGGCCACCAGAAAGCCCUACAUUCGGGAACCUCUGCUUCAGACAAACUUAAAAGGUUUUAAAUACUGGUAAGUCCAUCUGGUACCAACUGUAAAUAAUAAAUACUGAAGACAGUGAUUUCAGUUAUGCCUUAACCUGGAUCAAAUCUGGCCCGUGUCUCCUCUAUACAAUGGUCUCUUCUGAAAAUAUGAACAAACAAUGGUGUCAAUGGCUCGUUAGAUGGAAAUAUAAACUGUACCUGCA